rnacentral:misc_RNA from 1 species
CUUCUUUCCUUCCACAGCAAAAAAAAAAAAGGCUCGUACCACUCUUUUACAAUACUCCUACAGACUCAGUAUUUUGAUUAACAAUUCUACAAGCAGGAACCACUUUCUGCAGCAUAGAUGUCCCUUUGAAGGUCACCAUCUGACAGCAGCUUUUUCUAUAUUUGCUAAGCUGGUCUGGUUUUAUCUUUUGAAAACCAAAUUUAUCAGUCCAUAUAGAUUCUGCUUCUUCAGCAGCUGGGAGCACAAGGCUCUGAACAUUUAAAAAAGCC